GGGAACGUCGACUGACAGCGUCAGACGUCGACAAGCGCCGAUUGGUAAUCCGUGGGUUCUGGGUUCGAUCCCCAGGCGCCCCACCA
rnacentral:tRNA from 1 species